GUUAGGAAUAUUGGACAAUGGGCGCAAGCCUGAUCCAGCCAUGCCGCGUGAGUGAUGAAGGCCUUCGGGUUGUAAAGCUCUUUAGUCCACGAAUAUAAUGACUGUAGUGGAAGAAUAAGCCCCGUCUAACUUCGUGCCAGCAGCCGCGGUAAUACGAAGGGGGCGAGCGUUAUUCGGAAUCACUGGGCGUAAAGCGUGCGUAGGCUGUUUUGUAAGUCAGAAGUGAAAGCCCAGGGCUUAACCCUGGGAUUGCUUUUGAAACUACAAGACUCGAAUUCAGGAGAGGAUAGCGGAAUUGUCAGUGUAGCAGUGAAAUGCGUAGAUAUUGGCAGGAACACCAGUGGCGCAAGCGGCUAUCUGGACCGAUAUUGACGCUGAGGCACGAAAGCGUGGGGAGCAAACAGGAUUAGAAACCCGGGUAGUCC
rnacentral:rRNA from 1 species